rnacentral:rRNA from 1 species
UACAGAGAGUGCAAGCGUUAAUCGGAAUUACUGGGCGUAAAGCGCGCGUAGGUGGAACGUUAAGUCAGAUGUGAAAGCCCUGGGCUCAACCUAGGAACCGCAUCCGAUACUGGCGUUCUCGAGUAUGGUAGAGGGAAGUGGAAUUUCCGGUGUAGCGGUGAAAUGCGUAGAUAUCGGAAAGAACACCAGUGGCGAAGGCGACUUCCUGGACCAAUACUGACACUGAGGCGCGAAAGCGUGGGGAGCAAACAGG